AUGGUCCUGAGUCAAGGCCUGCAGUUUUCUGAAGCUGUUGGUUUCAAGCAGAGGCCUAAAAUGGUAAGCUUUGAUAGUCUGUUGGCCAUUUCAGAACUUUAGAAAUGCAGUGAUCCAUUUAUUAGGAAGAAACAAAG
ensembl:snoRNA small nucleolar RNA SNORA2/SNORA34 family